rnacentral:rRNA from 1 species
AAUGAACGUUGGCGGCGUGGAUUAGGCAUGCAAGUCAUACGAGAAUCGUAGCAAUACGAGGAAAGUGGCGGAAGGGAGAGGAUUACGUGGGAAUCUACCCUCAGAACUGGGAUAGCGGCGGGAAACUGCCGGUAAUACCAGAUAAUGUCUGUGGACCAAAGGUGUGAUUCCGUCUGGGGAUGAGCCCACGUCCUAUUAGCUAGUUGGCAGGGUAAUGGCCUACCAAGGCAAUGAUGGGUAGCGGGUGUGAGAGCAUGACCCGCCUCACUGGGACUGAGAACUGCCCAGACAACUACGGGUGGCUGGAGUCGAGAAUCUUCGGCAAUGAGCGCAAGCUUGACCGAGCGACGCCGCGUGCGGGAUGAAGGCCUUCGGGUUGUAAACCGCUGUCGUAGGGGAGCAAGAGAUGAGGGUACUCCCUCUGAUUUGAGCGAUCCUAGGAGGAAGGACGGGCUAAGUUCGUGCCAGCCGCCGCCGUAACAC